AGAGUUUGAUCCUGGCUCAGGACGAACGCUGGCGGCGUGCUUAACACAUGCAAGUCAAGGAGAACGUUUUCUUCGGAAAAUUAUUAAACUGGCGAACGGGUGAGUAACGCGUAGGCAACCUGCCCUAGAGAUUGGGAUAACCCCGGGAAACCGGGACUAAUACCGAAUAAUGCAGCGGAUCCUUUGGGAUACAGUUGUUAAAGUGGGCUUCGGCUCACACUUUAGGAUGGGCCUGCGUCUGAUUAGCUAGUUGGUGAGGUAACGGCUCACCAAGGCAUCGACGGGUAGCUGGUCUGAGAGGACGAUCAGCCACACUGGGACUGAGAUACGGCCCAGACUCCUACGGGAGGCAGCAGUAGGGAAUCUUGCGCAAUGGGCGAAAGCCUGACGCAGCCACGCCGCGUGAGUGAUGAAGGCCUUCGGGUCGUAAAGCUCUUUCAGCAGGGACGAAAAUGACGGUACCUGCAGAAGAAGCCCCGGCCAACUACGUGCCAGCAGCCGCGGUAACACGUAGGGGGCAAGCGUUGUCCGGAUUUAUUGGGCGUAAAGGGCUCGUAGGCUGUUCAGUAAGUCAGGUGUGAAAACUCGAGGCUCAACCUCGAGACGCCACUUGAUACUGCUGUGACUUGAGUUCGGUAGAGGAGUGUGGAAUUCCUAGUGUAGCGGUGAAAUGCGCAGAUAUCAGGAGGAACACCAAAGGCGAAGGCAGCUUACUGGACCUAUACUGACGCUGAGGAACGAAAGCGUGGGGAGCGAACAGGAUUAGAGACCCUGGUAGUCCACGCCGUAAACGAUGAGUACUUGGUGGUGGGGGAUUCGACCCCUUCACUGUCGGAGCUAACGCGUUAAGUACUCCGCCUGGGAACUACGACCGCAAGGUUGAAACUCAAAGGAAUUGACGGGGACCCGCACAAGCGGUGGAUUAUGUGGUUUAAUUCGAUGCAACGCGAAGAACCUUACCUGGACUUGACAUGUUAGUGAAACUUUGGUGAAAGCCAAAGGCUCUGCGAGCUUGCUCAAGGACACUAUCACAGGUGAUGCAUGGCUGUCGUCAGCUCGUGUCGUGAGAUGUUCGGUUAAGUCCGAUAACGAGCGCAACCCCUAUCCUUAGUUGCCAGCACGUAAUGGUGGGGACUCUAGGGAAACUGCCCGGGAUAACCGGAAGGAAGGUGGGGUCGACGUCAAGUCAGUAUGUCCCUUACGUUCAGGGCUACACACGUAAUACAAUGGGGAGUACAGAGGGUAGCAAUACUGCGAAGUGGAGCCAAUCCCAAAAAACUUCCCCAAGUUCGGAUUGCAGUCUGCAACUCGACUGCAUGAAGCAGGAAUCGCUAGUAAUCGCGCAUCAGCAUGGCGCGGUGAAUACGUUCCCGGGUCUUGUACACACCGCCCGUCACGCCAUGGAAGCCGGUAGCACCCAAUGUCAGUGUCCUAACCUUUGGGGAGGAGCUGCUUAAGGUGAGAUUGGUAACUGGGGCGAAGUCGUAACAAGGUAACC
rnacentral:rRNA from 1 species